AUACAAUCUUCAAGGCAACCAAUCAGGUAUUCUUUGAGGCGUAUAUAUUCCCUCAUAAGGAAGCUGCAUCGCACCUUGCUAAGUACUAUGACACAGCUUGCCGAGGGGAAGUGCCCACUGGAUUCACAUUGACAGGAACCGAGAAUGGUCUAUGAAAAUUGGGACUGCCUACGACACAACCAAAAUUUCUCCCCGUGUGGUAAGGUGCUAAUUCCUUUCGCGGUGUUCUUUGUCUUAGUGGAUGUUGUUUGUCCGCUUUGACUGUUAUAUGUCUAUUCGACACCUGCUUGGUCGUUGCUAAUGCGUGAUGAAACUGAUAAUUUGAUUCCCGAAUCCUGAUAUGUCAAUGCCAUCAUGUUUAUGUGUGGUUGAUCCAAAUCUGAGAUAAUGUACAUGUAGAAGGGCAUGAUAUAUGUAAAUCCUUAGUCAAUUGCAAGCCUUCAACUUGCAUUUUCUUUUCUUAACAUUCAUGAAUCUAGAUGAUGUACAUCUUUAUGAGAUGCAUGAAGAUUGCAAUGAUAUAUCAGAUGCAACUCAGCAACACUGUAGGGUGAAAGAGUGAAAGAAGUUGAAAUCAAUAUCUUCAUAGCUAUGUACUAUGUCCUUUCUCCAAUAAAAUUAUGUUAAUUCAACAACUCUGACUAUACUGACAAACUUCAUAUUUGUGUACACUGACCAUAUUGACCAGAAUGCAAUAUGUAUUUUAUUAGAUUAGUGCUUAUGAUAAGUUGGCGUACUUAAAAGUAAAUUUGGGAAUGGGAAUGCAAUAUGGCUUCCUAUGUUGAGCAGAAUUAGGAUUUCUCAAUAAGAUGAAGCUCCUGUUUUUGGGGGGAUAAGAGACACAUGUUCCUCUAUUCUUACACUAUGCAAUCUUUGCACUCUUUUGCUAAAAAACAAAUAUCUACACUCACGUUUUGGUAAGUAUUGUUGGUCAGUUUCUCUGUGGUGCUUAUAUAGAAUUUUUAAGCCUGAUAAAUUUCCAUUUUAAUUGUUCUUAACAGAUGCUUUGUUGCCAAAGCUUGCAAAUUGCAUAAACAUUUAUACAUUAUACUUUGUGUCUUGGUGCUUGUUCAAUGCCUAGCAUGGCUAUAGUUUACACUUGUCCCUUGUGAACCUGUUGAGACAAUGUGGAGCAACAAGAAGUAGGAUCAUAUUCAACAAUACAUCAGGCGCAUUUUUCUUGCUUGGAAUGAUGCAUCAGGCUUUAAUUCAACAAUAUCUAACCUUUUGAGGCGCUCCGGAAGAAAGAAAGGUGCACAUUGUGCGGUUACGAGCAUGAUGUUGGUGUGUUUCUUGAUACUAGAAAAGUGCCUUGCUUUGCAACGGAUCCAAAAUAGACUAAUGCAUUUUCAUAAACUUGAAACAAAAUCAACUUUUUUUCUGGUAUAUAUAUCACUUAAAAUAUUUUAGGUUUUGCCCAAAAUUUAUUCCUCAUUCAUGUUUGGAUGAGAUGGUGGAGAGACGAGGAUGGUCUGGAGAGACUAAGGGGUUUUCUGCCAAUGUAUAGCAUAGUGGGAGGGGUGUUUUUGCCAAAAGUAUAACAACUUGCCUCGCAUGCAUUAGAUGCAGAUGAGAUGGUUAGAAAUGAUGGAUGGCAGACACACCAUCAUUACCAACUGGGUCUUUUAUAAGAGUAGAGUUGACUGUAACUCCAAAAUGGUAUCUGUUGGUUUCUGAAAGUGUGCACCGCGAUGCUCCCUGUUAUAUGCACGCACCUUGCUGAAAUCCUGCAAUAUGUGUUCUAUUUUGAAUUUUAAGAGGCAGAUGUGUGUGAUCAUCAUGGUGCAGAUCAAUGUCUUAAAUGAAUCUGCCAUGCUGCCCUAGCUACUAUAUAUACACAUAAAACCUCUUUUUUUUUUUUCUUUUCGAGGUGUUGGCGAUCGUGUUGUAUACUUUUAUAAAGCUGACUUGAAAGGUUUAGAUUUACCUUUAUUUUUGUGGCAUCUGUUUAGCACUAGGGAAUGAGAGAAGUCAGUUUUGUCACUCAAAAAUGGAAAUGUUCUAUCCUUUGCACCUGAACAAAACUUGAGACGGUAGAUAGAUAGAGCCAGUUCAACAUGUAACAUCCCUAAAUGGUGGAAAGCUCCAGGAAGAAUCAGUUCAUUCUUCACGUUGUUGACCUACUGAAUCAGAAAGCAAUGUGGAGUCGGCUAUAUCGUCACGGUAACUCCAGAAGAGGACUCUAGAGAUGAACGGUUCAUCACAUUUCAGAUAAAAAUCCCAAUGCAUCUCAUUCCCCGGGAAAUUGCACUAUCUGACUCACUAGUAGAAAACGGGCCUUUGACCGGGACCAUUUAGUCCCGGCCUGCCUCUGGGCCGGGACUAAAGGCCCGGCCUGCCUCUGGGCCGGGACUAAAGGCCCGGCCACGUCGCCCCAAUUCUCAUAUCCUCCCUCGAGCCUUUAGUCCCGCCCCGUAAUGAGCCUUUAGUCCCGGUUCGUGUCCCAAACCGGGACUAAAGGGCUACGCGGUGGGCAGCCCGCAUGCGCGCCACCUUUAGUCCCGGUUUGCCUCUCAAACCGGGACUAAAGUCCUCUGCCUAUAUAUAGCACAGCCCCCCUCUCCCCUCUUCGUUGCAUUUUUCUUGGAUGGAGGAUUGUGGGUGGGUGCUUGCUCUCCACUUUUUUUGAUGCACUAGAG
rnacentral:lncRNA from 1 species